rnacentral:rRNA from 1 species
AGAGUUUGAUUAUGGCUCAGAUUGAACGCUGGCGGCAGGCUUAACACAUGCAAGUCGAGCGGAGAGAGGUAGCUUGCUACUGAUCUUAGCGGCGGACGGGUGAGUAAUGCUUAGGAAUCUGCCUAUUAGUGGGGGACAACAUUUCGAAAGGAAUGCUAAUACCGCAUACGUCCUACGGGAGAAAGCAGGGGAUCUUCGGACCUUGCGCUAAUAGAUGAGCCUAAGUCGGAUUAGCUAGUUGGUGGGGUAAAGGCCUACCAAGGCGACGAUCUGUAGCGGGUCUGAGAGGAUGAUCCGCCACACUGGGACUGAGACACGGCCCAGACUCCUACGGGAGGCAGCAGUGGGGAAUAUUGGACAAUGGGCGCAAGCCUGAUCCAGCCAUGCCGCGUGUGUGAAGAAGGCCUUAUGGUUGUAAAGCACUUUAAGCGAGGAGGAGGCUACUUUAGUUAAUACCUAGAGAUAGUGGACGUUACUCGCAGAAUAAGCACCGGCUAACUCUGUGCCAGCAGCCGCGGUAAUACAGAGGGUGCAAGCGUUAAUCGGAUUUACUGGGCGUAAAGCGCGCGUAGGCGGCUAAUUAAGUCAAAUGUGAAAUCCCCGAGCUUAACUUGGGAAUUGCAUUCGAUACUGGUUAGCUAGAGUGUGGGAGAGGAUGGUAGAAUUCCAGGUGUAGCGGUGAAAUGCGUAGAGAUCUGGAGGAAUACCGAUGGCGAAGGCAGCCAUCUGGCCUAACACUGACGCUGAGGUGCGAAAGCAUGGGGAGCAAACAGGAUUAGAUACCCUGGUAGUCCAUGCCGUAAACGAUGUCUACUAGCCGUUGGGGCCUUUGAGGCUUUAGUGGCGCAGCUAACGCGAUAAGUAGACCGCCUGGGGAGUACGGUCGCAAGACUAAAACUCAAAUGAAUUGACGGGGGCCCGCACAAGCGGUGGAGCAUGUGGUUUAAUUCGAUGCAACGCGAAGAACCUUACCUGGCCUUGACAUAGUAAGAACUUUCCAGAGAUGGAUUGGUGCCUUCGGGAACUUACAUACAGGUGCUGCAUGGCUGUCGUCAGCUCGUGUCGUGAGAUGUUGGGUUAAGUCCCGCAACGAGCGCAACCCUUUUCCUUAUUUGCCAGCGAGUAAUGUCGGGAACUUUAAGGAUACUGCCAGUGACAAACUGGAGGAAGGCGGGGACGACGUCAAGUCAUCAUGGCCCUUACGGCCAGGGCUACACACGUGCUACAAUGGUCGGUACAAAGGGUUGCUACCUAGCGAUAGGAUGCUAAUCUCAAAAAGCCGAUCGUAGUCCGGAUUGGAGUCUGCAACUCGACUCCAUGAAGUCGGAAUCGCUAGUAAUCGCGGAUCAGAAUGCCGCGGUGAAUACGUUCCCGGGCCUUGUACACACCGCCCGUCACACCAUGGGAGUUUGUUGCACCAGGAGUAGCUAGCCUAACUGCAAAGAGGGCGGUUACCAC